UACGUAGGGUGCGAGCGUUGCCCGGAUUUAUUGGGCGUAAAGGGCGCGUAGGCGGCCACGCACGUCCGUUGUGAAAUCGCCCGGCUCAACUGGGCGGGGUCAGCGGAUACGGUGUGGCUCGAGCAAGCUAGGGGGCAAUGGAAUUCCCGGUGUAUUGGUGGAAUGCGUAGAUAUCGGGAGGAACACCAGUGGCGAAGGCGGUUGCCUGGAGCUUUGCUGACGCUGAGGCGCGAAAGCGUGGGGAGCGAUCCGG
rnacentral:rRNA from 1 species